rnacentral:antisense_RNA from 1 species
AUGAAGAUCCGGCGCAGCUAAAGUCAGUGGAAGGUAGAAAGACGCCACAGCCGCCUUUCGACAACUUUUUGUUACAAAAGUGGAGAUCUACACGGAGGCGACGGCCUAGGUCGCUCUGACAGGACCCAACGACCCUCCUGACGCGUCCACCCGUCCUCGCUAGCAGGGUCCCCCAGCGGGCUCUCGACCUGCGCCACCAGAGUUUCACUCUUUUUGUCGACAAUAAUAUGGCGCCCAAACACGUGGGGCCUCAGAGAAGACUCUGGAUCCGGAAGGAGUAUCCCAAAACCAGAGCUAAGUUACCAGCUGGAGCCCACUGAAGCCUCACCGAGUUUGGGCUUCUCCUCCUAUGGAACUGGAUACCAAAAUCAUGGUAUUUUGAAAACCAGAGGUAUGAAUCUCCCUCGUUUGACAUCCCACUGGGCCUGGACCUGUUUCACUGCUAAUGUUCUGCUGCCAAAACUAUACAAGCUGCCUGGACUAUUGCAGAAGAGAGACAGGGUCUUGCUCUGUUGCCCAGACUGGAAUGCAGUAGCACAAUCCUAACUCAUCGUAACCUUGAACUCCUGGGUUCAAGCGAUCCUCCUGCCUCAGCCUCCUCAGUAUAGGACUACAGGCGUGCCCAGG